CUCGUCUGAGGGGACGGGAGGAUCGCCUUCGCCGCCGCUUUGGCCAGUGCGCGGGGCCGUGCCCUGACAAGCUGCCUCGGGGGAGGCUCUUCGGAGCCGGACCUGGACCCUCGUGAUUGCCGCCUGCCCUCCCGCCUCUGGUCUCACGAAGGGUUUCCCGCCUCGCACCCCCACCUCUGGACGUGCUUUUCCCUCCUCCCCGCGUGCGGAGGGAGCCAGCGCUUAGGCCGGAGCGAGCCUGGGGGCCGCCGGCCGCGAAGGCAUCUCGGGCACAGAUUCGCCAUG
rnacentral:other from 1 species